GGAGAGGCAUCUCUCCGGGUUGAAAACUCCGGUGGUUAUAGAUGGACAUGCGUUGUAUUAGCUAGUUGGUGAGGUAACGGCUCACCAAGGCAACGAUACAUAGGGGGACUGAGAGGUUAACCCCCCACACUGGUACUGAGACACGGACCAGACUCCUACGGGAGGCAGCAGUGAGGAAUAUUGGUCAAUGGACGCAAGUCUGAACCAGCCAUGCCGCGUGCAGGAAGACGGCUCUAUGAGUUGUAAACUGCUUUUGUACGAGGGUAAACUCACCUACGUGUAGGUGACUGAAAGUAUCGUACGAAUAAGGAUCGGCUAACUCCGUGCCAGCAGCCGCGGUAAUACGGAGGAUUCAAGCGUUAUCCGGAUUUAUUGGGUUUAAAGGGUGCGUAGGCGGUUUGAUAAGUUAGAGGUGAAAUCCCGGGGCUUAACUCCGGAACUGCCUCUAAUACUGUUAGACUAGAGAGUAGUUGCGGUAGGCGGAAUGUAUGGUGUAGCGGUGAAAUGCUUAGAGAUCAUACAGAACACCGAUUGCGAAGGCAGCUUACCAAACUAUAUCUGACGUUGAGGCACGAAAGCGUGGGGAGCAAACAGGAUUAGAUACCCUGGUAGUCCACGCAGUAAACGAUGAUAACUCGUUGUCGGCGAUACACAGUCGGUGACUAAGCGAAAGCGGUAAGUUAUCCACCUGGGGAGUACGUUCGCAAGAAUGCAACUCAAAGGAAUUGA
rnacentral:rRNA from 1 species